rnacentral:tRNA from 1 species
GCCCUUGUAGCUCAGCUGGUAGAGCAACUGAUUUGUAAUCAGUAGGUCGCGGGUUCGAAUCCUGUCGGGGGCU